rnacentral:lncRNA from 1 species
GUAGAUGUGCCCGAUCGUGAAUUGGAGUAAUUUGAAAGCUUUACAAAAUAGGCUAGAAGAAAAGGAAUUAUUUAGGCUCAAAAGAGUUUUGUUGGUUUAGGAAAUGAAUUAGAAGACAAUGGAUGUAAUUUGGCUAAGGAUUCAAAAGCCGAACUAACACAAUAGUAGUGUGUUAACCCGUAACUUAUGAGAAUGCUUAGGUUGGUAAGGUGUCAAUGGAAGGUUUGUUAAGUGGAUAGAAACUUCGACCCACUAUCAAAAAUGAUAGGAACCUCAGUACGAAUCGAACGCCACACUUUCGGGAUUAAAGUGAUAAGUUCGGAUAGAAAGACGGGUUGACGC